UCGAGAAUCUUCCGCAAUGGGCGAAAGCCUGACGGAGCGACGCCGCGUGCAGGAUGAAGGCCCUUGGGUUGUAAACUGCUGUCAGAGGGGAUGAAAUCACGGUUGGCUAUCCUUCCGUGUUGACAGAGCCUCAAAGGAAGCACGGGCUAAGUACGUGCCAGCAGCCGCGGUAACACGUACUGUGCGAACGUUAUUCGGAAUCACUGGGCUUAAAGGGUGCGUAGGCGGUUUAUCAAGUCAGAUGUGAAAUGCCUGAGCUCAACUGAGGCACUGCGUUUGAAACUGAUAGACUUGAGUAUUCCAGGGGUAUGCGGAACUGCCAGUGGAGCGGUGAAAUGCGUUGAUAUUGGCAGGAACACCAGUGGCGAAGGCGGCAUACUGGGGGAUAACUGACGCUGAGGCACGAAAGCCAGGGUAGCGAACGGG
rnacentral:rRNA from 1 species